rnacentral:rRNA from 1 species
UNUGACUUGAGUGCAGAAGGGGAGAGUGGAAUUCCAUGUGUAGCGGUGAAAUGCGUAGAUAUAUGGAGGANCACCAGUGGCGAAAGCGGCUCUCUGGUCUGUCACUGACGCUGAGGCUCGAAAGCGUGGGUAGCGAACAGGAUUAGAUACCCUGGUAGUNCACGCCGUAAACGAUGAGUGCUAGGUGUUAGGCCCUUUCCGGGGCUUAGUGCCGGAGCUAACGCAAUAAGCACUCCGCCUGGGGAGUACGACCGCAAGGUUGAAACUCAAAGGAAUUGACGGGGGCCCGCACAAGCGGUGGAGCAUGUGGUUUAAUUCGAAGCAACGCGAAGAACCUUACCAGGUCUUGACAUCCCGAUGCUAUUCUUAGAGAUAGGAAGUUACUUCGGUACAUCGGAGACAGGUGGUGCAUGGUUGUCGCCAGCUCGUGUCGUGAGAUGUUGGGUUAAGUCCCGCAACGAGCGCAACCCUUAUUGUUAGUUGCCAUCAUUAAGUUGGGCACUCUAGCGAGACUGCCGGUAAUAAACCGGAGGAAGGUGGGGAUGACGUCAAAUCAUCAUGCCCCUUAUGACCUGGGCUACACACGUGCUACAAUGGUCGGUACAACGAGUUGCGAGCCGGUGACGGCAAGCUAAUCUCUGAAAGCCGAUCUCAGUUCGGAUUGGAGGCUGCAACUCGCCUCCAUGAAGUCGGAAUCGCUAGUAAUCGCGGAUCAGCACGCCGCGGUGAAUACGUUCCCGGGCCUUGUACACACCGCCCGUCACACCACGAGAGUUUGUAACACCCGAAGUCGGUGAGGUAACCUUUUAGGGNCCA